CCCAUAGUCCCAGGCAUCUUGAGAAUUCGAUACCCCGGUAGGCAACUGAAUGAAAGAGGAAUCCUUACGAUCUAUCUAGAUCAGAUCCUGCGGGUGCCAUAAAAUGGCAAUAUACUACGGAGCUCACGGUGCCAUCAUAGCACAGAUUCUGUUUUGACUGAGUUUUAUACGGUCCGGAUAAUGAGAGCUGUCUAGAAUGCAUAUUAAAAGUAGGCGGGUUUUCAGGUAUCUACCGUUGACGGGUUUCCCUCUUUCUUUUCGGCACUUCUCUCUCUCUCUCUCUCCAGUUUUCAUUUAUCUCGUGUCCCGCUUACUUUCCAUGAGUAACAAUUAUUAUAUUCUUCGUAGCAUGGUACUCGACAUGUUUUUCACAGCCUUCUUCCACUGUAAGCACACAACCGAGC
rnacentral:sRNA from 2 species